AUCACAUAUGCGGUGGAAAACUAUGAGAACCCAUGAGGUUACAUAUUUAUGAGGUUAAAAGUGAGGAAUCUGACCUGUAUUUCCCUUAGCAUCUUGAGUUCAUUUUUCUACUGUCAGUCAACCACCAAUGACAUUGUCUGCAGAUGCUUUGAGGAAACCCUGACAUGUCCUGAGCUCCCAGAAGUAACUUGGCACUAACAAUAUCUUUACUUCAGUUUUUCCCCAAAUAUUCAUUCAGCAGUGGCAGGCCACCACAGCAAGAACACUGCUACCACUGUUAAGCAAAAUGAGAGGGAUGUUUGAAAAAAGAAUUCAACAUACAGCAUGUGUGAAAAGUCUG